GACGAACGCUGGCGGCGUGCCUAAUACAUGCAAGUUGAGCGCUGAAGGUUGGUACUUGUACCAACUGGAUGAGCAGCGAACGGGUGAGUAACGCGUGGGGAAUCUGCCUUUGAGCGGGGGACAACAUUUGGAAACGAAUGCUAAUACCGCAUAAAAACUUUAAACACAAGUUUUAAGUUUGAAAGAUGCAAUUGCAUCACUCAAAGAUGAUCCCGCGUUGUAUUAGCUAGUUGGUGAGGUAAAGGCUCACCAAGGCGAUGAUACAUAGCCGACCUGAGAGGGUGAUCGGCAACAUUGGGACUGAGACACGGCCCAAACUCCUACGGGAGGCAGCAGUAGGGAAUCUUCGGCAAUGGACGAAAGUCUGACCGAGCAACGCCGCGUGAGUGAAGAAGGUUUUCGGAUCGUAAAACUCUGUUGGUAGAGAAGGACGUUGGUGAGAGUGGAAAGCUCAUCAAGUGACGGUAACUACCCAGAAAGGGACGGCUAACUACGUG
rnacentral:rRNA from 1 species